AUGCCUGUCAACAGCACUGCUGUGUCCUGGACCAGUGUUACCUACAUCACUGUGGAGAUUCUCAUCGGGCUCUGCGCCAUAGUGGGCAACGUGCUGGUCAUCUGGGUGGUCAAGCUGAACCCCAGCCUGCAGACCACCACCUUCUAUUUCAUUGUCUCCCUAGCCCUGGCUGACAUUGCUGUCGGGGUGCUGGUUAUGCCUCUGGCCAUUGUCAUCAGCCUGGGUGUCACAAUCCACUUUUAUAGCUGCCUUUUCAUGACCUGCUUGAUGCUGAUAUUCACCCACGCAUCCAUCAUGUCCUUGCUAGCCAUUGCUGUGGACCGAUACCUGCGGGUCAAGCUCACAGUCAGAUCCAGGAUUCCUAAGGCCCCUGGGUCCAUCUGGUCAUCCCAGUUGAAGAUUCACUUCUUUCCAGUCAUGAGGCUCUUCAUUCUGCUCUCUUUGACUGUCUUUUCAGAUGCCAUGGUCAUGGACGAGAAGGUCAAGGAAAGCUUUGUGCUGGACACAGCUUCCGCCAUCUGCAACUACGACACCCACUAUAAAGACCACCCCAAGUACUGGUGCCGAGGCUAUUUCCGGGACUACUGCGACAUCAUCGCCUUCACACCCAACAGCACCGACCGCGUGGCCCUGAGGGACACAGGAAGCCAACUCAUUGUCACUGUGUCCUGCCUGACCAAGGAGGACACAGGCUGGUACUGGUGUGGCAUCCAGCGUGACUUUGCCAGAGAUGACAUGGACUUUACAGAGCUGGUUGUGACCGAUGACAGAAGAGCCAUCACCGACAAUUUCUGGUCCGGGCAAGACCUAUCGGGCAACAAGAACAGAAGCUGCAGGGCUUCCAAGGUUGUCCACAAGGCAGAUCACUCCAGGAUGUUCAUUCUCAUCAUUUGCAUACUGAUCACGGGCUUAGCGCUCAUCUCCAUAUUCAGUCGUUUGUCCCGAAGGAGGAGAAACCAAAGGAACAGAACGGCAGACAACUCUUUGACGUCCCUUCCACAUGUCCUGACUCCAAAGGCAAUGGCUCACACUGAACAGAUGGGG
rnacentral:lncRNA from 1 species